rnacentral:rRNA from 1 species
UACGAAGGGGCUAGCGUUGUUCGGAUUUACUGGGCGUAAAGCGCACGUAGGCGGAUUGUUAAGUCAGGGGUGAAAUCCCAGAGCUCAACUCUGGAACUGCCUUCGAUACUGGACGGCUCGAGACCGGAAGAGGUCAGUGGAACUGCGAGUGUAGAGGUGAAAUUCGUAGAUAUUCGCAAGAACACCAGUGGCGAAGGCGGCUGACUGGUCCGGUUCUGACGCUGAGGCUACGAAGGCCAGGGAGCAAACGGGAGUAG